UACGUAGGGUGCGAGCGUUAAUCGGAAUUACUGGGCGUAAAGCGUGCGCAGGCGGCUUUGUAAGCCGGAUGUGAAAUCCCCGGGCUUAACCUGGGAAUGGCAUUCGGGACUGCAAGGCUGGAGUGCGGCAGAGGAGACUGGAAUUCCUGGUGUAGCAGUGAAAUGCGUAGAUAUCAGGAAGAACACCGGUGGCGAAGGCGGCUCUCUGGGCCUUACCUGACGCUGAGGAGCGAAAGCGUGGGUAGCGAACAGG
rnacentral:rRNA from 1 species